rnacentral:rRNA from 1 species
UACGGGGGGGGCGAGCGUUGUUCGGAAUUACUGGGCGUAAAGCGUGCGCAGGCGGUUAUGUAAGUCAGGUGUGAAAUCCCCGGGCUUAACCUGGGAACUGCAUUUGUGACUGCAUAGCUAGAGUACGGCAGAGGGGGAUGGAAUUCCGCGUGUAGCAGUGAAAUGCGUAGAUAUGCGGAGGAACACCGAUGGCGAAGACAAUCCCCUGGGCCUGUACUGACGCUCAUGCACGAAAGCGUGGGGAGCGAACAGG